AGCGAACGCUGGCGGCAGGCCUAACACAUGCAAGUCGAACGAUCCUUCGGGAUAGUGGCGGACGGGUGAGUAACACGUGGGAACGUGCCCUUUGGUUCGGAACAACUCAGGGAAACUUGAGCUAAUACCGGAUGAGCCCUUCGGGGGAAAGAUUUAUCGCCAUUGGAGCGGCCCGCGUCUGAUUAGCUAGUUGGUGAGGUAAUGGCUCACCAAGGCGACGAUCAGUAGCUGGUCUGAGAGGAUGAUCAGCCACACUGGGACUGAGACACGGCCCAGACUCCUACGGGAGGCAGCAGUGGGGAAUCUUGCGCAAUGGGCGAAAGCCUGACGCAGCCAUGCCGCGUGAAUGAUGAAGGUCUUAGGAUUGUAAAAUUCUUUCACCGGGGACGAUAAUGACGGUACCCGGAGAAGAAGCCCCGGCUAACUUCGUGCCAGCCGCCGCCGUAACAC
rnacentral:rRNA from 1 species